rnacentral:rRNA from 1 species
AUUGAACGUUGGCGGCAUGCCUUACACAUGCAAGUCGAACGGCAGCGGGCCCUUCGGGGUGCCGGCGAGUGGCGAACGGGUGAGUAAUGCAUCGGGACGUACCCGGGAGAGGGGGAUAACCGGCCGAAAGGCUGGCUAAUACCGCAUGAACUCGGAAGAGCAAAGCGGGGGACCUUCGGGCCUCGCGCUCUCGGAGCGGCCGAUGUCCGAUUAGGCUAGUUGGUGGGGUAAAGGCCCACCAAGGCGACGAUCGGUAGCGGGUCUGAGAGGACGAUCCGCCACACUGGGACUGAGACACGGCCCAGACUCCUACGGGAGGCAGCAGUGGGGAAUCUUGGACAAUGGGCGCAAGCCUGAUCCAGCAAUGCCGCGUGGGUGAAGAAGGCCUUCGGGUUGUAAAGCCCUUUCGGCGGGGAAGAAAUCGGUCAGGCGAAUAGUCUGGCCGGAUGACGGUACCCGCAGAAGAAGCACCGGCUAACUACGUG